GUAGUCGUAGCCGAGUGGUUAAGGUGAUAGACUAUAAAUCCAUUGGGGUUUCACUGUGCAGGUUCGAAUCCUGCAGACUACG